rnacentral:lncRNA from 12 species
ACUGAAGAGGCUCAGAAUUGCCACUUGACUUUAUGAUCCUGAAAGAGUUCGGCCUGAUAAAACCCUUCCCAAAGAGUGGAG